UACGUAGGGGGCAAGCGUUGUCCGGAAUCAUUGGGCGUAAAGAGCGUGUAGGCGGCUUGGUAAGUCCGCUGUGAAAGUCCAGGGCUCAACCCUGGAAUGCCGGUGGAAACUGUCAAGCUUGAGUCCGGAAGAGGCGAGUGGAAUUCCUGGUGUAGCGGUGGAAUGCGCAGAUAUCAGGAGGAACACCGGUGGCGAAGGCGGUUCUCUGGGCCUUACCUGACGCUGAGGAGCGAAAGCGUGGGGAGCAAACAGG
rnacentral:rRNA from 1 species